rnacentral:rRNA from 1 species
GGGGUUGACGGUACCCUACUAGAAAGGAGCCGCUAACUUCGUGCCAGAAGCGUCGGUAAUACGGGGGCUCCAAGCGUUAUCCGGUGUUAUUGGGCGUAAAGAGUCGUGUAGGUGGUUGGGUAAGUUAUCUUUCAAAUAUCUUUGCUUAACAAAGAGGAGGGGGAUAAUACUGCUCGACUAGAAUUUUCUCAAGGGAGAUCGGAACUGAGGGAGGAGUAGUGAAAUGCGUUGAUACCCUCGGGAACACCAGUGGCGUAGGCGGAUCUCUGGGAGAAGAUUGACACUGAGACACGAAAGCUAGGGGAGCGAAGCAGAUUAGAGACCUGCGUAGUCCUAGCCGUAAACGCAUGCUUGCUAGCUGCAUGAAUCUACCUUCGGGUGGUAUCGUGUGGCGAAGGUAACCCGUUAAGCAAGCCGCCUGGAAAGUACGGCCGCAAGGCUGAAAUUCAAAGGAAUUGGCGGGGAGGCACACAACCAGUGGAACAUGUGGUUUAAUUCGAGACUAACCGAAGAACCUCACCAGGGUUUGACAUGUAGCUGCACGUCUUAAGAAAUUAAGACUCUCUUGAAGGUGCUACACAGGUGCUGCAUGGCUGUCGUCAGCUCGUUCCGUGAGGAGUGCCCUUAAGUGGGACAACGAGCGCAACCCCUAUUACAUGUUAGAAAUGUCAUGUAAGACUGCCUUGCCAUUUGGCGGGGAGGAAGGAGGGGCAGACGUCAAGUCCGCAUGGUCCUUAUGCCCUGGGCUACACACAUGUUACAAUGAGUACGGCAAUGAGUCUGUCGCGAGCACGUAAGUGUAAGCUAAUCUCUUAAAUGUACUCUCAGUGGGGAUUGAGGUCUGCAACUCGACCUCAUGAACACGGAAUUGGUAGUAAUCGCGGGUCAGCUAUACCGCGGUGAAUACGUUCUUGCCUCUUGCACACACCGCCCGUCAAACCAGCAAAGUCGAUUGUAUCCGAACCUCUCUUUU